rnacentral:rRNA from 1 species
GAUGAACGCUGGCGGCGUGCCUAAUACAUGCAAGUCGAACGCGAGAGGAGGGAGCUUGCUCCCUCUGAUCGAGUGGCGGACGGGUGAGUAACACGUAGGCAACCUGCCCAUCAGCCGGGGAUAACUGCGGGAAACCGUGGCUAAUACCGGAUAAUCCUCUCCACCGCGGGGUGGGGAGUUGAAAGACGGUUUCGGCUGUCGCUGAUGGAUGGGCCUGCGGCGCAUUAGCUGGUUGGCGGGGUAACGGCCCACCAAGGCAACGAUGCGUAGCCGACCUGAGAGGGUGAUCGGCCACACUGGGACUGAGACACGGCCCAGACUCCUACGGGAGGCAGCAGUAGGGAAUCUUCCGCAAUGGACGAAAGUCUGACGGAGCAACGCCGCGUGAGUGAUGAAGGCUUUCGGGUCGUAAAACUCUGUUGUUAGGGAAGAACAAGUGCUAGUUGAAUAAGCUGGCACCUUGACGGUACCUAACCAGAAAGCCACGGCUAACUACGUGCCAGCCGCCGCGGUAA